GAUGGGAGCUUGCUCCCUGAGAUCAGCGGCGGACGGGUGAGUAACACGUGGGUAACCUGCCUGUAAGACUGGGAUAACUCCGGGAAACCGGGGCUAAUACCGGAUAACACCUACCCCCGCAUGGGGGAAGGUUGAAAGGUGGCUUCGGCUAUCACUUACAGAUGGACCCGCGGCGCAUUAGCUAGUUGGUGAGGUAAUGGCUCACCAAGGCGACGAUGCGUAGCCGACCUGAGAGGGUGAUCGGCCACACUGGGACUGAGACACGGCCCANACUCCUACGGGAGGCAGCAGUAGGGAAUCUUCCGCAAUGGACGAAAGUCUGACGGAGCAACGCCGCGUGAGUGAAGAAGGUUUUCGGAUCGUAAAACUCUGUUGUUAGGGAAGAACAAGUGCCGUUCGAAUAGGGCGGCGCCUUGACGGUACCUAACCAGAAAGCCACGGCUAACUACGUGCCAGCAGCCGCGGUAAUACGUAGGUGGCAAGCGUUGUCCGGAAUUAUUGGGCGUAAAGCGCGCGCAGGUGGUUUCUUAAGUCUGAUGUGAAAGCCCACGGCUCAACCGUGGAGGGUCAUUGGAAACUGGGGAACUUGAGUGCA
rnacentral:rRNA from 1 species